UCGGAAUUAUUGGGCGUAAAGCGCGCGUAGGCGGUUUUUUAAGUCUGAUGUGAAAGCCCACGCUCAACCGUGGAGGGUCAUUGGAAACUGGAAAACUUGAGUGCAGAAGAGGAAAGUGGAAUCCAUGUGUAGCGGUGAAAUGCGCAGAGAUAUGGAGGAACACCAGUGGCGAAGGCGACUUUUGGUCUGUAACUGACGCUGAUGUGCGAAAGCGUGGGGAUCAAACAGGAUUAGAUACCCUGUAGUCCACGCCGUAAACGAUGAGUGCUAAGUGUUAGGGGGUUUCCGCCCCUUAGUGCUGCGCUAACGCAUUAAGCACUCCGCCUGGGGAGUACGACCGCAAGGUUGAAACUCAAAGGAAUGACGGGGACCCGCACAAGCGGUGGAGCAUGUGGUUUAAUUCGAAGCAACGCGAAGAACCUACCAAAUCUUGACAUCCUUUGACAACUCUAGAGAUAGAGCCUUCCCCUUCGGGGGACAAAUGACAAGAAAAAACAUGGUUGUCGUCAGCUCGUGUCGUGAGAUGUUGGGUUAAGUCCCGCACGAGCGCAACCCUUAAGCUUAGUUGCCAUCAUUAAGUUGGGCACUCUAAGUUGACUGCCGUGACAAACCGGAGGAAGGUUGGGAUGACGUCAAAUCAUCAUGCCCCUUAUGAUUUGGGCACACACGUGCUACAAUGGACAAUACAAAGGGCAGCGAAACCGCGAGGUCAAGCAAAUCCCUAAAGUUGUUCUCAGUUCGGAUUGUAGUCUGCAACUCGACUACAUGAAGCUGGAAUCGCUGUAAUCGUAGAUCAGCAUGCUACGGUGAAUACGUUCCCGGGUCUUGCACACACCGCCCGU
rnacentral:rRNA from 1 species